UCCUGCAUCGCCUGAUCCAGUCUAUGAUCGUACGUACAGCGGCGAAGAACGCAUUCCUGGAUCUAAGUGAUCUUGAAAAUAAAAAACUUAAGGUGUUUUCAUGUAAUAACGUUUACAAUAAAAAAUAGAUUACCGAUUGUUAUAACGGCAAUAAUUCGCAAUUAAUUCGUGAUAAUCCAAGCAUUCAUCUGUCCAUAUCGGUCAAAAAAUGCCACCAGCAGGCCACGAGACGAAGAACCUUCUGAUGACGUAUUUCAUCCUUAUUUUUCUAUUAAUCUCGCUUUGGGUAUUAUACUCGGGAUUGUUUUUUUAAGCACAACAGACAUUCCUCACCAUGGGCUGAACAACAAAGAAAGCAAGGCGGAUGCAUUCAGAGGAUCCAAGAUCGUCACGGACACCUCGUUCAAAACUCGCCAAUUCUCACUUAUUAUAUUUUCUACAAUUUAGGCGUCUGAAGACAUGUUCUCCACAAAUCAUUUUUGACUGUUUAGUGACCGAUUUCUGCAACGCGCAUGAUUUAAAAAUAUAUUUAUCGGGUAAUAGAAACAAUUUUAAAAGUUUGUCCCUUGUCUUGCUUCAAUUUCUUACCACUUCGUCAUGAAAAUCGGCUAUCGAUAUUACAUUAAUUAUAUUUUCCCAGAUAAUUAGCUACAAAUACAUUGUCUGAAUUAAAAAUAAUAUUUAUAUUAUGUUACUCUCG